UUUUGAUAAAAAGGUGACAUGCUGAAAAGUGCUUCUGAAGUGCAUUAUAGCCGAUAUGACAAAGCCACCAAACUUCAGAAGAAUUGGCAGGAUUUGUUGUCUCUCCCAAGAAGAAAUCCCCCUAAGCCUGAAAUGAGAGAUGCACUUGGGGAAGAGAAUAACAGAGAGAAUAUAAGGAGACAAGAAAAGGG